rnacentral:rRNA from 1 species
CCUACGGGAGGCAGCAGUAAGGAAUAUUGGUCAAUGGAGGCAACUCUGAACCAGCCAUGCCGCGUGCAGGAAGAAGGCCCUAUGGGUCGUAAACUGCUUUUGUACCAGAGAAAACCCGAGUACGUGUACUCGGUUGAUAGUAUGGUAAGAAUAAGCAUCGGCUAACUUCGUGCCAGCAGCCGCGGUAAGACGAAGGAUGCAAGCGUUAUCCGGAUUCAUUGGGUUUAAAGGGUGCGUAGGCGGACUUGUAAGUCAGUGGUGAAAUCUCUCAGCUUAACUGAGAAACUGCCAUUGAUACUGCAGGUCUAGAGUAUAGAUGACGUUGGCGGAAUAUGACAUGUAGUGGUGAAAUACUUAGAUAUGUCAUAGAACACCGAUUGCGAAGGCAGCUAACGAAACUAUAACUGACGCUGAGGCACGAAAGUGCGGGGAUCAAACAGGAUUAGAUACCCUGGUAGUCCGCACCGUAAACGAUGAUUACUCGUUGUUGGCAAAUAUGUACGUCGAGCGACCGAACGACGAAGACGAGUAAGUAAAGUACCGUUACCGUUACGGGGUAGGGUUACGGCCGGCCGACCGGUUACGGAAACGUUAAAGUUAGUUAAGUUAGACGGCGUUGAGACGNGCCGACGGACGACGACGAGGGGAAGGUAGGAG